AAAUAAAGAAAUGAAAACUAAACAUAAAUUACUUUUACGACUGCUACUUUGAAAAUAACAACAAUCAAGUAUGUGUAGGGAGGGAAUCACAAUUGAAAGGACAAAAAAUCUAAAGAAAGAAUAAAAAAGGUCGAUAAUUAGUUUUAUUUAUAUAUGUAUUUUAAAAUUUAUUCAUUUCGACAGAAUAAAUUUCGUUUUAUGAAAUAGCUUAGAUGAUUUGCUACUAACUUUGAAAUGAAUCAUAAACAUAAUCUUCGUAAUGAUCAAUAGGCUGUUUCUUUGAAGGAUUUAUUAUACAUGCUUUGGGUUUUAUACAAAGAAUAUUUGUAAAGUGUUUGAGGAAGCACUUGUUUUGUGCCAAUCUAAUUCACCUACGUAUGUAGGUAGGUAUGUAGUGAGUAUUGUUGAUGAUCAAAGAAUCGUAGAGAAG